CGUCACCAAUCCCCCUCGGGAUCCACCAGCGCCCAAUCCCCUCGCAGCCUCCACCUUCUCCUUGUUUUUCCCUCCUGUCCAACCACCAUCGCCCCGCCCAAAUCCUGUAGGAGCCCGAGCUCCUCUGCCCGUCGGCCCUCUCCUGCAGCCGCCUGAGCACCGGCCAGCUCCCUGGAGCUCACCACCAGCACCGCCGAACUCGUACGACUCCAGCAACACCCCACGGUGAAGCUCCGCUCCUCCCCGAUCUCUCUCUCCGGUCUCUCAUCUCUCUCGCUCUCUGUUUGUUCACAGGGAGUUGGAGCAGCCAUGGCACCCGAACGCCUCAAGUUCGUCAGCCCCACCGAUGGAAUUUGUCUAGUGCCCGAGCCUCCUCCCGUUGCAGCCAGCUUGGCCGCCGACUAAAGCCCCAGGUCACGCACCGUCAGGAACGCCAUGGAGCAUCGCCGCCGUCCUAAACCAUCCGCAGCUCGCCUCCGUUCUGUUCCCGACCUCGUCAUCUCCGGAUCUGCCCAUCCCCGUCUCCUGCAGCUCUUCUCUUCGUCGGCUCCGCUGAGGUCCGUCACCGCCGUUGCCCUCUAGCUCGAGUUUGAGCGUUGCCUCCAGUCGCCUGCUCGAUCCCCUGCAUCGACCACGCCCGCGUGUGCGCAAGGGCCGCAAGGCCAAUGGCGCCCAGCUUCUUCCGCUUCCGCAGCCAGCCAAGUUUCAACAUCGCCAUGGCCGCCGGCCUCUUUGUUUCCCCGCUUUCCGGUAAUGUUGUGAUUGUGAGGAUUCGUUCGACUACUCCCG